AACGCGAAGAACCUUACCUACUCUUGACAUCCAUGGAACCUGACUGAGAAGUCGGGGUGCCUUCGGGAACCGUGAGACAGGUGCUGCAUGGCUGUCGUCAGCUCGUGUCGUGAGAUGUUGGGUUAAGUCCCGUAACGAGCGCAACCCUUGCCCUUAGUUGCCAUCAGGUCAUGCUGGGAACUCUAAGGGGACUGCCGGUGAUAAGCUGGAGGAAGGCGGGGAUGAUGUCAAGUCAUCAUGGCCCUUACGAGUAGGGCUACACGCGUGCUACAAUGGGUGGUACAAAGGGAAGCAGAGCCGCGAGGUGAAGCGCAUCCCAUCAAAGCCACUCGCAGUCCGGAUUGGAGUCUGCAACUCGACUCCAUGAAGUUGGAAUCGCUAGUAAUCGUAGAUCAGAACGCUACGGUGAAUACGUUCCCGGGCCUUGUACACACCGCGCA
rnacentral:rRNA from 1 species